GCCGACGUAGCUCAACCGGCAGAGCAGCUGAUUUGUAAUCAGCGGGUUGUCCGUUCGAGUCGGAUCGUCGGCUCCA
rnacentral:tRNA from 1 species